rnacentral:lncRNA from 10 species
AUGAUGGCUUAGCUUGGGCUCAGAGGCCUGACACAGGCCUCCAUGGAUUCCCAGCUGCCCUGGAAUCUCCUGUUUCAGGGGGAGUUCACAGGAAGCCAUGUUAGGGCAUUUCCAUGUCGUCCUGGGCCCAGACUUCCAGCCCCGAGCAAGGACUUCAAGUCUUGGUCAACUGCCAUGACAGGGCCUCAGCAUGGCAGCUCUCACUGCAAAAGCUGGCAGGCCUUCAGAAGAAGCUGAAGGUUCCUCUGCCAUUUCCAGUGUAAUUCUCUGAAGCCCGGGCCCAUCCAGUUUAACUGAGUAGCUCCCCUUCUCAUACUCCUCCCACUGUGAUGAGAGGCAGAAUGAGGCUCGCUAUAACACAUUGUGAAACAGGUAAGAGGAGGCAGAACCGAGGGUACAAAUUCAUUUUUCUUGUUGCCAUAUUUCCUUGCUCGUUAUAGUUUCUUUGCACCCUAGAGCUCUUGUCAGCGACCCAUUUUGUGAAUGGAGACAUUUCUGCUUUGAAGUCAUAAUUUAUCCUGCAAGAGCUGCUAAAAGAAGCACUUUUAAACUCAGAUCUGAGCGAAGGCUGGGAAUUGGUUGUUGCAAGUAGAAAAUGAGUCACAGAUGUACAAAGACAUUAGAAGGCUGCCUGCAACAUAGAAGCAAAAUGCUCCAGGAGGCUGACCUGAAUGACAUACAUCAGUGAACUCCUUUGGCCUCUGUCAGACCCACCAAAUCAGAAAAUCUUACACUCCUACAAGAAAUUCAUGGUAAGAUGAAAGAGCCACAUCUGGGGCUGGGCACCUGCAGGCACAGACCCAUUCACCUGCCACUUUUGCAGUAGUGUCUUUCCCUCAGCUCACACCCACAUCUCCGUGGGGGCAGGAGCCCCUAGGAUCGGCUGAUGAAGGAGGUAAAAGGCCAAACUUGGUUUACAGAGGGGUUGGCUCUUUAUAUGGGUAUAAGCAGUAUAGGGCCUGCUUACUACAGCUCUGUUCAGGGGUGGUCUGAAAGAAAGACUGAAGAGAAAUUCUUCUAACAAGCAGAGAUCUGGGAAGUGUACAUGUUUAUCCACUUCGUGUGCAAAGAGAAGUGGUGUACAGUAAGAACACAUGUGGGCUCAUUGUCAGUAAAAAAAAAAUGGCUUGUCCAGUUAACCAGAGCCAGGAAGGAGAAAGUUUGGAGGAUUAGGGUUGAAGAGACCUAGGGAAGAAGUGCGUGAAAGCCUCUUUGAGAGAGAUAAUGUGUGACAAGGUUUGUAUCAAAUAUUAAUGCUCAACAGAGAGUAUCUUCCAGGGAAAAGGCACUACAACCCAGUAGGCAAAAGGACCCAGCCAGUUGACAUCAGUCAUUGGUCACUCUGAUGCUAACAAAUGGACCUCACACCAUGGCAGCAGAGAUGGAAGCUAUGCAUAGAUCCAACAGCAUGGGCGCCCUCUUACUAAGACUGAUCUGCCACCCUGUAUGUCCAGCCUUGUAGGAACAUAGACCAAUACUGAGCCACUGAUUCAGCACAUCCUCUGUGGAGACCAACCAGCCACUUGGUGGCAAGAGAUUACAUUGGAACCCUCUCAUCUCAGAAGGAGCAGUGCUUCGUGUUGACUGAAUCAACAUGUGCACCAGAUACAAGACUCCCUUUUCUGCCUGGAAUAAUCUGCCAGUAUGACUCUCAAAAGGCUUAACUCACGGACAUAGGAUCCCAUGUAGCACUGCAUUGGAUUGAGAGAUAGAGAACUCAGUUAAAAACAAGGAGGUGUGGCAGUGGGCCCUUGACUAUGGUAUCCCCUGGCCUUAUCACAUCCUAUGUCACUCAGAAGUUGAGAUCUGAAAGAGUGAAAAAAAAGCUGCUUACUAGCCACUGAGGACCCAGCUUGGAGAUGAUAAGCUGUGAAGAUGGGCGCUGUUCUCCAGACAUAAUAUAUAUGUCCUAAAUCAACAACCUUUCCCUAGAGCUGUGUCCCCAGUAGAUAGCAAGUGCGAGUCUGGAAAUCAAAGAGUAGAAAUAGGCAUAGCUCGGCUUAUAUCACUUCAAGUGACCAAUGUAGGGAAUUUAUGCUUCUUACUACACUCCCAGGCUUUUGUGGUUUAGAAGUCCUAGUUUCUAAAGGGAGAACAUUUCCACCAGGAAACUCAGCAGGAGACCCAUUAAGCUUUAAGCUAUGCUUACUGAAUGUCGCUCAUGCCAAAGCCUAUCAGAAAAGGGAAAUAGCCUUCAUCCCAGCAGGAGUAAUGGGCCCUGAUGAUCAGGAGGAGGUGGGGCUGCUGUUACUCCCUGGGAUUCUCUUGGAACCCUCUUGCCUAAUUUCAACAAAAAAUGGACAAAUGCAGUGGUCAUGGCCUGAGAAAGGCUCAGAUCUUACUGUUGAAGGUGGAGGUGUCCCCAACAGGUAAGCCUCUUAGACCAUCAGAGGUGUUAGCCAAGGGUGAGGAGAAUCUAGAAUGAGUAGGGGAGGAGAGAAAUGAUGUGUGUAGUUACCUUGAAACUGCAGCAUGGGAGUUGGGGGGGUUCUGGGGCUAUAAUUCCUGUCACUGGCCUUCCUCUUGUUAAGUUUACCUAGGAAAACAGGCCAGCGAGAAUCUUGGAGGGGCUGUUCCCAAGUUUUGCUAUAAAAUGAAAGUGAAUCCAAGUGGCCUGGGGCUGAAUCUGAGUUCAUGCUGUGGGCACUGCCCAGAUGCCUUGUCAGAGCUAAGAUCAUUCUCCCAGCUACUGAGAGUGUGGGUAACCUGUGAUGCUUAGCUGAGUCCCUCUCCAGGAAUUGCCUUUAGCAAAAAAUGAGCCACCUCUCUUCACCCAGACCACACUCCCCUCCCCAGGGAAUGUACAGCCCAAUUCAGUGUGUGGUCAGUGCAGAAGCAGAAAGGCUCAAUUUGCCUGCAUCUAGUGAGACAUCUAGGAGGGUUCAUCCUACUCCCUGAACUCCCCAUGGGGUUGACUGAGGCCUUCGUCACAACUUCAUUGCAGUUCAUACCUCCCUUUGCCCCAUCCCACUUCUUUCAUUCUGCAUGGGCAUCGAUCUUGAUCGAGGCCACUCCCCAGAACACUCCCUGCCUGCAUGUCUCUCUCAGGAGUCUGCUGCCUGGGGGUUGGAUUUAAGACACAUGCUGGUCUUCCCCUAGGAGUAAUUUCCCUGUCCACACUUUUGAUCAAAUUUCCUUGAAUUAUCUUAAUUUGAGUGUGCCCUCUGAAUUUUGAUGGGAUCUGGACUGACGGGGCAGGGUAUUGGGCUAGGGACAUGACUGGCAGGUAAGUCUGCCUAAUUCUGAGGCUCAGUAUUAGUAGGACUCUUUACUGACACAUGGAAUUUGUAUUCUCAAACGUACCAAAAUCAGCUUACUAAAGAUAUUUUGGUCUCCACCUUAAUUCUUUGUUUGUUAAAAGUAAUGGCAAAAACCACAAUUCCUUUUGUACCGACCUAAUCAACUAUUCAGAACCUGAAUGGAAGCCACUCCUUGGUGGUUCCCUUAGAAACCUCAGCCCCAUCCAGAGCCCUUGUAUCAGAUUUGGAUGGAAAGGGCAUGUGUUUAGCCCGUUCAAGGGUGACUUUUAGACAGUCCUCUCUCUCUCUCUGUGUGUGUGUGUGUGUGUGUGUGUGUGUGUGUGUGUGUGUGUGUGUAGGUUCAGCCUUUUCUCACUAAGACAGUUAUUUUCACCCAUAGGCAGGCACCCUGAUGGGAGAGGCAGGAUGAAUGGAUCUCUUUGAUACUCAAAGUUUUUUAAGCCAUUGAUGUGUUAUGUGUCUAAAAUAAUAUUCUUUUUUGAAAAAUUAUUGUUUCAUGAUAUGAUUAAUAAAUUAUUUUCUUUGUUAAAUAUCGAUUAAAAAUUAUAUUAAUAAUUAUGUUAAUAAUUAAGAAUUAUAGAUAAGGAUAAAAUUCCUUUUGACUGUUACAGCAGUCCACUCCCAAGAGAAUAAACUGUUACCUUCCAGACCUUUUCAAAAUUGACAGGAUCUAUUUAAAGUCCUGUAUUUUAUUUGACCAGAAAAUUCUAUUUUUCAGAUGUUACAUUUAAGAAAACUUCUUGAAUGUACAUGACAAAGAAUGAACAAGCAUAUUUAUUGCAACAUUGUUUAUAAUAGCAAUAAAGGUAAGCAACUUAAUAGGGGACUAAAUAAAUUGUGGUAUAUUUUUACAAUGACAGAGUAUACAGUAGUAAAAACAGUGAGGUGGAGCCCUAAGUGCUAACUUGGAAAAAGCUUCAGGAAAUAUCACUGAGUGAAAAAGGAGAUUGCAGAAUGAUAAAUGUAAUGUGAUGCAUUUUAUCAGGGCUAUUUAGGAAAAUUAUGGCCUAAUAGAAAUGACCUGGGCUGAGUGAGAGGAGCAGAAAUGGGGAGAGUGAUUAUUGCCCCUCGCUUGCUUUGCCUCCUUUAGCCAUUUCUUCCUGUUCUCUCAAUCAUUCUUUCCCCUCUUUCACUCCACAUUCUUUCCUUUCUUCAUCACUUCUUUUCAUAGUUAAAAUUGAAGCCAAGUCUACCCUCUAGGAAUUGUAUGUGUUUGUGCUCAUUAACAACCAGUUGAACUCUGUUGAUUAGCAAUAUGGUCAAUCCAAACUGGUUGUUAAAGUGUCAAAAUAAAUGGAUCCAAUACCUGCACCCGGGCUCACAUGAUCUCGUUGAUGAAUAAUUAAUAUAGCCUCAAUAUGAUGCAUUAUAUGGAAACCUGCCUGCUUUGGCUACUGUGAAAGCUUAAAAAUAAACCAACCACUUGACAAAGUUACAAAAAAAUAUAUAAAAAAGAAAUUUGCAGUAUGGGUUGAAUGAAUAAUAAAUAUAUAGUGUUUGCAUUAAAGAAAGUACCAGUGGCAUUGUACUUUGUGUUAUUAUUAGAGUGUGUAGAUUAUUUGAUUUGAAGAAU